GACACGCAAAUGCUGGACUGAACCUGCAGCUGAUUCAGGGGGCAGUGUCCUGAGCUCUAAAACUUCAAACCUGGGGCAGUGUCCUGAGCUCUAAAACUUCGAAAUCUGACCAGGCACAGUGGCUCACGCCUGUAAUCCCAACACUUUGGGAGGCUGAUGUGGGCGGAUCACCUGACGUCAGGAGUUCGAGACCAGCCUGGACAACAUGGAGAAAGCCCAUCUCUAGUAAAAAUACAAAAAUUAGCCAGGUUGAUGGUGCCUGCCUGUAAUUCCAGCUACUCAGGAGGCUGAGGCAGGAGAAUCGCUUGAACCCAGGAGGCAGAGGUUCCAGUGAGCCGUGAUCGCGCCAGUGCACUCCAGCCUGGGCAACAGAACGAGACUCUGCUCCAAAAAGAAAAAAACUUUGAAAUCCCUCUAAAAAUAAAAUGGACCGGUGGAUGGUAGCUGUGAGGAUGGACCGUGUGGCAGGUUUAGUUCUGGGGCCUCGGCAAUGAGUGUUGGGUGUUUGGGGCACGGCUCCUGUUGUUUUACGAGGAGAAUUUCCUAAUAACGUGUUACACUGGGGAGAACGUAGGAGGGGAGCCCAUUUGUUCUGAAAACGCGGGGACCAGCCCUGGUCCCCGGCUCAGGACUGGAGGGGUUGCCCUGGUCCCUGGCUCAGGACUGGAGAGACCAGCCCUGGUCCCGGGCUCAGGGCUGCAGGGAGGCACCUGGUCUUCCCUCGUCCUCACGAUCCUGCACCCUCAAGAUGCCACGUUGUUGAGGCUGUUUAGGGAACUUGACAAGCUGAUUGGAAACUGUGCUGAAAUAGAGCCCAGGUAGUGAUGCGGACAGGGCAGUGCCAGAAGGAGCCCCAGCGAUUCCUGUGCUGCAAGGCACGCCCAGGACGGGGCACUAGCCGGGGGAAGAGGCUCUCAGGGCCCAG
rnacentral:lncRNA from 1 species